rnacentral:rRNA from 1 species
AUGGCUCGCAAGAAGGUGGCCAUCGAGUACAUCGCGAGCGACCCGACCCGGAAGGCGACGGCGAGGAAGCGCGACAUGGGGAUCAAGAAGAAGGCCGGCGAGCUGUCCGUGCUGUGCGGCGUCGACACGUGCUACAUCAUGUACCGCGAGGGCGGCGCCUCCCCGCCGGAGGUGUACCCGUCGGUCCCGGAGGCGAUGCGCGUCAUCGACCGCUUCCGGUCCAUGCCGGAGCUGGACCAGUGCAAGAAGAAGAUGGACGGGGAGGACUACGUCCGUGAGCGCAUCGCCAAGAUCCAGGAGCAGCUGCGCAGGGCGCAGCGCGACAACCGCCAGCUCGAGACCACGCUGCUCCUCCACGACACCCUCGUCGGCCGCCGCCAGGGCCUCGCCGGCGUUGCCAUCGAGCAGCUCGUCAGCCUCGGCUGGAUGGCGGAGAGCUACGUCAAGAAGGUGAGCGACUGCAUCGCGUACAGGAACAUGCAGCAGCAGCAGCACGCCGGCGUGCAGGCUGAGCCUCCGCAUUACGGUGCCACCGUCGCCGACAUGGAGGCGCCGCCGCACCAGCAGCUAUAA